GUGCCAGCAGCCGCGGUAAUACGAAGGGGGCUAGCGUUGUUCGGAAUCACUGGGCGUAAAGCGCACGCAGGCGGAUUGAUAAGUCAGGGGUGAAAUCCCGGAGCUCAACUUCGGAAUUGCCUUUGAUACUGUCUAUCUUCGAGUUCGGGAGAGGUUGGCGGAAUUCCUAGUGUAGAGGUGAAAUUCGUAGAUAUUAGGAAGAACACCAGUGGCGAAGGCGGCCAACUGGCCCGAUACUGACGCUCAUGUGCGAAAGCGUGGGGAGCAAACAGGAUUAGAAACCCUCGUAGUCC
rnacentral:rRNA from 1 species